rnacentral:tRNA from 3 species
GCGAGUGUAGCACAACGGUUAGUGCAUCAGCCUUCCAAGCUGAGGACGCCGGUCCGAUUCCGGUCACUCGCU